rnacentral:sRNA from 1 species
GAUAUCAGGGUCGAAAGCCUGACUCCGGGACAAGCUUGCUUGGCCAUGGAGGAAGUGCUUUAUGACCCGCCCCGACAUGAGCAAGCAGUGGGGAAGGGGCCCCGCGAAUUGCGAAUGGAGGGCAGGAUUGUGGGAGUGCGCAGCACGAAACAAUCCGUAAUAU